UUGAAAUUUAAAUAAAAACUGUCGAUGCUCAAGUGAAGUUCCCAGUGCUCCACUUGCUGCCCACUCAGCUCUGGCGCGUUCUCCACCCCGCUCUGUGCCUGUGCGUCUCUGUCGAAGCGUAAAAUAUUAUGUCAUUAUCAAGGAAACGCAAUAAAUUUCUCUGGACGCGCGCCACUGACGAGUGCCACUCAAAGACGGGACCACCGCGGCGUUAUUAUCUUGGAUUUGGCAUGCGUUGCGCCUGGCAUCUAAUUACAGAAACAGGAGCUGCGCUCAGGAGCCAGCGACAGGAGGUGACGUUGGAUAUUCAAAUGCGGCCAGAAUAUGCGGCGUUAAGCUGUGAAUGACACCCGUUGCCUUGGCCGCGCCUUUGUGCCGCCUGUCCAGUGGCCCUGGCAACUGUUGCCACUGGGCAGGGCUUGGCGCUCGGGCGGGCAAUACAAGUCAUUAAGCUGCUGUAAUUGCUGCGGCCCGACUUAUCAGUCGAGCUGGACCCAAUAACCAUAUAUUUACGGAGUAACUUCUUUUGCUGAUCUCACCCGCAACCCCUGUUGUUUUUAUUGCCAACAACUUUCAGUUGAUUUGUGCCAUGGGCGAGACCACACCCACACCCACUCGCAGCUCAUAUCCGAGUUUCAUAAAGGAAAUGACAUUUUUCUACGGCACUUUUCGCAAACAACAUUUUUGCCGAUUGACAUAUAUCACCUCCAGUUUCGCAUCUCUGGCUCGACGCUUAACGUUCCACAUUUCCGGUUUUGGUUUUUCCCGUUGACUGCUUCGAGGAUGACGCAGCGGCGGCGGCGUUGGCCGCUUUUCUUGGCUUGUGGCAUAAGUCGAUUAUAUGCGGAAAUGA